UAGAAAAAUAGCUCAAAGGCAGAGCGUCUCGAAAUAUCGAGAAGGUAAAUGGUUCGAUUCCAUUAUUUCUACA
rnacentral:tRNA from 1 species